GAAUCUUGGAGAAAUAUGCAGGCAACACAGUGAGGAGCUGGUCUCCUGUCACAGGGAGCUGGGGGUGUUGUCCCAGCAGUACUCUCUGAAGUGUCUGGAGAGCUCCCACCUGGGCCAGGCCCUGGAGGCAGAGAGACAGGCUCUGUGUCAGUGUCAGCAGGAGAACCAGGACCUCAGAACUCGCAACCAGGAGCUGAGUGGCCAUCUUGCUGCAGAGAUCACCAGACUUUGCUCUCUGGCCAAGCAGGACGCCUUCC